UUUCUUUCAUUUAUCAAAUUGUUAUGCAUUAACGACUUUAAGUUUUUUCACAGGUGUUAAAAAUUUUACAAAGUAAAUUGUAAAAUAAGAACAAGUGCACAAGUGUGUGUGGUAGUGGAAAGGAAACCUUCUCUUUGCAGAGUUGGAGUCCUGUGUUCACUAAUGAUCCUUCCGCAGGUUCACCUACGAAAA
rnacentral:misc_RNA from 1 species